AAUCAACGCUGGCGGCGUGCCUAACACAUGCAAGUCGAACGCGAAAGGGGCUUCGGCCCUGAGUAGAGUGGCAGACGGGUGAGUAACGCGUGGGUGACCUACCCUCGAGCGGGGGAUAACGUCCCGAAAGGGACGCUAAUACCGCAUGACAUCCUGCCCUUGGACGGGCGGUGAUCAAAGCCGGGGAUCGCAAGACCUGGCACUUGAGGAGGGGCCCGCGUCCGAUUAGCUAGUUGGUGGGGUAAUGGCUCACCAAGGCUUCGAUCGGUAGCCGGCCUGAGAGGGCGGACGGCCACACUGGGACUGAGACACGGCCCAGACUCCUACGGGAGGCAGCAGUGGGGAAUUGUUCGCAAUGGGCGCAAGCCUGACGACGCAACGCCGCGUGGAGGAUGAAGAUUUUCGGAUCGUAAACUCCUGUCGAAUGGGACGAAUGGCCCGGCCGUGAAUAGCGGCCGGG
rnacentral:rRNA from 1 species